rnacentral:lncRNA from 1 species
ACUUGGGCCAAAACGGUGAAGGAGCAAAAUAACUUGAACAUUUUUUAAACCCUCUUCUCAAAUUCUUGGGCAUUCCACAGCGGUUUCAAAAACUUUAAAACAGCAGCUAAUACAUGACAAAGGUUUCGUCGUUAGUCGAGGGAACACAUUGCUGAAGUUUGGACGCAUCCCAGGAAAAUGAAAGGUCAUCCAUGAAGUUUUACGGAGAUCGUCCCUCGUGGGAAAACGCUUGUGCGGCGGGAAGAAACUCCUCCGCGUGCAAGAUGCACAGGACGCGGCAUCGGCAUGGAGCCGACACCUGCUCUGUGAUCGCCUCUCAGUUUAAGGUGCUGAAGACCAGGACCCUUCCCCUCAUACAGCGUCCUUCUCUGAACGCGAGUUUACAUUACUCGGUUCCGGCCACGCGCCCUCAACGGUAAACAGGUCGCAGGGAAAUGUGGCAUCUGUAUCUGCCGGAUAAGGCUUCCAACUCCAAGCACCCUCUUGCGCCGAAUGCCUGGUCCAGGUUCCUGUGGGGAACCGGGAGAGCCAGGAUGUAGGAACCUCGUGGUCAGCUCUCCCCAGUGAGACUCGGUAGCAUUCCCGCUGGUUUUUGUCCCCUUUGUUGCGCCACAGUUCCUUCCUUUUGGGGCCGCGUCGCUGGUAUUCAGCCCCUUCCUCUUCUUCCGCGCAGCACUCUCCUCCCGCUGGGGGCCACAGACAAGCACAUCUUAUUUCUCUCUGAGGAGAGAGGAGAGAAAAGUUUGCUUUUGUCAUGAAAGGUACCUGCUUUCUGUUUUGUUUUGUUUUUUUCCCCAUCUGAAAAAUGGUCCAUGACCAUGUAGCCGUCGGUAACCUCAGCUAAGCUGUGUGGACAGGCGGCAUCCAAGAAGACACUCGUCCGUCCCCUUUGCUGGGUCCUUGCGGUUCUGUCCUGCGGCCCCUGCUGUGACGGGAGGUGCCGAGGGCCCACCGGCUCCUGCUUUCACUUGGGCGCUGGCAGAGCGAUGUGCCCUCAUCCGCUUGCCAGACCAUCCCGCACCUCUGCCUUCUAGAAGCUGUGAAUUCCCAGCAAGGGCAAUAUUUUAGCCCAAGGGGAAAUAAUCCCGUGUCAACUGCAGAGAAGAAAAAACUGUUCUUGGACAGAAGCCAAAAGACAUUGUAUCAGAUUUUGUAAAGACGUUCAAUUUCAGCUGGUACAUAUCCUGUCAAGACCCGCGUUUCCCUCGACUGCGGUAUUUUCAGCAUGUAAAAGAGAAACCACCGCCACCACCACCAAAAAAUCCUCAGAUUUUGAGAAAUUGUGAAAGGCAUUGCCUUAAGCCACUUAACCCCUUCCACCUCUGUCUUUGGAUGAAAUGAAUCGGAAGUGCCUCCUUUUUGUGCCAGAAUGUGUGUCUGCAGAGCCGGGACGAGAGGGGAUGAUGCUCCCGUGACUUACGACGGGAGGCGCUACCCUAGGUUCUAGUCCUGAGUGAGUUUGCGAGCAGAUUCUACAAAGGCCAAUGACAGGAAGGGCAGUGUCCUGGUAAAAGCACAGUGGUGUUUGAUCCCAGGCGCCACAAGGGGAAGGCAAAACACACCAGCCAGGAAGGCGGUGUGGGCCUCCCCAGCCCUGUCUUUCUGCUGGGCUCUCUAAGGGUACCUUUGAGGCCAGAGCCAAGCAGGAAAGUAGUUUUCAGAUGGCCACGAGCUUCAGGGUGUCUGUAGACAUUUGAAGUUCAUCUCAUGACUGCUGCAGUUGUAAUAUAAUACAACCCUAGUUAGUAAUUCACUUUCACAUUUUAAUCAAAUUCAAAUCGCUUCAUUGUUAUAUCAAACGAAUGUUUCUUUAAGUUUAUAUUAAUGCUGAUUUAAUCUUUUUCAAAUAUUGGAUUCUAUUUAAAAUUCUGUUUCUUAAAAAAGGGAUUCUGCUACUAUGAGAAAAAAAACGUAUUGACCUCAACAAGUAGAAAAAUCUAGUGUCUUGGCGGAUUCAGUGCCAGGCCUCUUUAUUGACUCUCCACCCCAGUUCUUGGGGGCUGCUGAACUAUUACACGUGCAGGGCUGGGACAGUCAUGCUUCAUAGAGAUGCUACCCCCACCCAAGGGCAACAGGAACGUCUGAAAUGAACACAGGUGGCUCUUUCCCGAGGUGGGCGUCCGGAAGCAUUCGCUGGUGUGGGCGUACUGUAAAUAACUGACUGAUCCACGUUUGGUUGUAGUUUGCCUGUUAGCGUCCGUGUCCUAUGCUGGGAGUGGCAGUGUGUCUCCCCAUCCCACAGCCAGCAGCCCUGAGGGGCUUCUCAGGAUUUCAGAAAUGGCUCAUCUGUGUAAGGAAAAGAGAGAUUAGUGCUUCAUACAGCACCUACCAGGAUAAAGCAGCCGCUCCAGCAGAAUAGACGGACUAAAUGACUUCCACAAACCCUUGAAAAUUAAGGAAAUCUCAGCAUUUGAGAGAAAGACCUUGAGGAGCUAGGGCCUCCUUUUUUCAUAUGGAAAAGACAAGUUCUGUAUGACCUCACAUGUAGAAUCAAAAACAUUUUUCUAUGGCAAAGGAGAUUGGCUUGAAGGGGUGGGGGCGGGGGAGGGGGUGGUUGGGGAAGGAUUGAGUGAAGGCGGGCAGAAGGCAUAUACCUUUUAUACUUUUUCACCUGUAAGAUAAACAGGGACUGUACAGCUUAGUGACUCCAGUUUGCGAGUAAUACUGUAUAUUGGCCGGUUGCUAGGACAGCAGAUAUUUAAAUCUGUAAUCAGCUAGAAGAAAACCAGGUCUGUGUAGGUCUGUGCAGUGAUGGAUGGUAACUAAACUUUAAUUGUGAUCAUUUUACAAUAAGACAUUAUCAAAUCCUGCUGUACAGCUGAAGCUUACGCAAUGCUGUAUGUCAAACAUGUCUCAGUACUGAAAGAAAAAAAAUCGGUAACAAUUAUUUCCUGGCUUCUGACAGUAUCAGGAGUAGAACCGCUAAACCGUAAUGCUAACAUUUUACUGGGGCUGGAGUGUGGUCACCACCCUUUGUGCUUCUUUGAGACGUGUAUGAGUUUAGGUUUGAACCUCUUGUUUUCCGUCAAGUGACACUUGUAUUUGCAGGGCAAGCCAACACAGUAUCCCCGGGUGUUAGGGUGGGCAAAUAUUGCUUCUCUGCAAUCUUUGAACUCAGAGAAAUGGCAUUCAAGAUGAUGAUAUUUACAUUUCAUUUGUAAAGAAAGCGAUGUUGAAAAUUUUUCUGUUCAAAGGUUCACGCCAACCCUUUAGGUUCAUUCAUCUACAGUCCUAAAAAUGUCUUUUACGUAUGUGUGCACACUUUUUUUUACAAAUGUGUGUGUGCACUGCUUCAGCCCUUAGUAAAAGUAAGAAUACUGAACACUGAGAAUUUAAACACAUUUGUCUUCCUAAUAAUGAUUAUCGGAAAAUACUCUUAAAGUUAAUGGGGUAAAACUGUAUUUUAAAAAGUUAUUUGUAUCUUCUUGGCGACUGAGAGAAGCUAUAAAGUGUAUACAUGGCAGUCACCCUUUUCAAUAGCAGGAAGGCAGUCUCAAGUAAUCAAAAAGAACUCAGCAUCCGUUCCAGGCUUCUAGAAACAGUUGGAGGGCCCUAACACCCACAGCAAGAGUGCCGGCCGAGUCCAAAGCGGCCUCCAGUUCUCCUCAAGAGAAUCCCACUCUAGAGGAUGAGAAAUCCACUCUAAAUUCUGGCCAUCGGUGGCCUUCCCUCCCAACUUGAAUAGGCGUCUCGUAGGGAAAACGUGUCACCCACAGGUAGGCAGUUAAUGUAGAGAAAGUUCAUCAGAGCAGGUCACGUCGCCGCGUCCGUAAAGCACAGAGUGAAGAUGAAGCCACGUGUUUCAGAAGAGCAAACUUACCUCUGCGGCUCCCCUGCCGCCCAUGCAAAGGGAGGAAAAGCGCCAACAGCCCAGGUGGCCCUUGAUGUUCAGGUGACACAGAUCCCGGCCCUCUCCUCUGUCCUCACACCUGGCAGGGACUCUUUCCAAAGAGCCAGAGGCCGAAGAGGAUGGCCUGCCCUUCCAAUUCAGCUAAAACUCUUGCAUCUACGCUUUUAUACUUGGUAGCUCAGGUUGGGCCAGAGAAGCGUUGCCUCGAGAGAGGAAUGAGGAAUCAAGCGUGGAACCGGGGGAAAUGAUGUGACCCUCUAAGGACGUGUUUCUAAGACGCUGUAAGUGCUGCUUCUCUUUGCAAGGAUUCUGCAGUAACCAUCAAGUAGAAGUUUGGACCUGCUUUCACAUACUUUUCAAGGAGGUAGCACUUUCUUGGAAGCAAGGGAUGUCGCUGUCGUUCUUAUUUCUUCAAAACCCUUCAAGGAGUGUUUGCAACCAAAGACGUGCGCUUACCAAAACAGACUUUCGUAGUUUCCACUUCAGAUUCAGUCUUUCCACUUUAAUAUAUUUAUAUGUGAGACUGAAAUGGGUGUGUAAGUAUAUAUGUUCUGUUUGUCAAAGCAUUUGUCACUUACCGAAACAUAUGGGGAAACCCCUGCUCUCUAGAAAUGUGAGAGGGAAAAAAGUGUAUUUGAAUUUAAAGCGCUUGUAAACCUGCAGGAAUAUAUUCGUACUAGAUGGAUACGUGCUGUGUAUUAUUGUUCAUUUUGUGAAAGUUGUAUCUUCUCACCUGCUAUAAAAGAUGUACUUUCAG